AUGGCUCAUGCAGUUCAAUUAGGACUUCAAGACACUACAUUCCUUAUUAUGGAAGAACUACUCACUUUCCAUGACCACACUCUUAUAAUUAUUUUCCUAAUUAGUCCCCUAGUCCUAUACAUUAUUUCCCUAAUAUUCACAACAAAAUUAACUCAUACUAGCACCAUAGAUGCCCAAGAAAUCCAGACUGUGUGAACUAUUUUACUUGCCAUUAUCUUAAUUUUAAUUGCCCUCCCAUCCCUACGUAUUCUGUAAAUAACAGAUGAAAUUAACAACCCUGCUCUUACAGUCAAAGCAAUUGGCCACCAUUGGCCACCAAUAAUAUUGAAACUAUGAAUGUACAGACUAUGAAGAAUUAGGCUUCGAUUCUUAUAUAAUUCCAACAGCAGACUUAAAGCCAGGAGAACUUCAACUCCUCAGAGUUGAUAACCAAACUAUUCUCCCAAUAGAUAUCCCCAUCCAUAUAUUAAUCUCAUCUGAAGACAUCCUGCACUCAUGAACUAUCCCCUCAUUGGGGCUGAAAACAGAUGCAAUCCCUGGAUGCCUAAAUCAAACCACCCUAACUGCUACAUGACCAGGCCUUUACUAUGGACAGUGCUCAGAAAUCUGUGGGUCCAACCACAGUGUUAUACCUAUUGUCCUAGGAUUAACCCCCUUAAAAUGCUUCGAAACCUGAUCCAUGUCCACACUAUAA
rnacentral:lncRNA from 1 species